rnacentral:misc_RNA from 1 species
UUUCCGUAGGUGAACCUGCGGAAGGAUCAUUAUUGUAUAACCGAGGUGCGAGGGCUUUCGCUGACCCGACAGGUCGUGCACGCCCGAGUGCCCUCACACACAUCCAUCUCACCCCUAUGUGCACCACCGCGUGGGUCCCCCUUUGGCUUGUUCGGAGGGGGGCUUACGUUUUCCCACAAACUUUGUAUGCAGUGUAGAAUGUAUUUUUUGUUUUUGCGAUCACGCAAUAAAUACAACUUUCAACAACGGAUCUCUUGGCUCUC